rnacentral:rRNA from 1 species
GAUGAACGCUGGCGGCGUGCCUAACACAUGCAAGUCGAACGGUUAAGCCACCUUCGGGUGGGCAUACAGUGGCGAACGGGUGAGUAACACGUGACCAACCUGCCCCUUGCUCCGGGACAACCUCGGGAAACCGAGGCUAAUACCGGAUGCUCCGGCCCUCCGCAUGGAGGGGCCGGGAAAGCCUGGCGCGGCAAGGGAUGGGGUCGCGGCCCAUCAGGUAGACGGCGGGGUAGCGGCCCACCGUGCUUUCGACGGGUAGCCGGGUUGAGAGACCGACCGGCCACAUUGGGACUGAGAUACGGCCCAGACUCCUACGGGAGGCAGCAGUGGGGAAUUUUGCGCAAUGGGGGCAACCCUGACGCAGCAACGCCGCGUGCGGGAAGACGGGCCUUCGGGUUGUAAACCGCUUUUCAGCAGGGAAGACCGACGAC